GCCGGGUGCGGUGGCUCACGCCUGUAAUCCUAACACUUUGGGAGGCCGAGGUGGGUGGAUCACCUGAGGUCAGGAGUUCGAGACCAGCCUGACCUACAUGGUGAAACCUCAUCUCUA
ensembl:misc_RNA Metazoa_SRP Metazoan signal recognition particle RNA